GAGUUUGAUCGUGGCUCAGGAUGAACGCUGGCGGCGUGCCUAACACAUGCAAGUCGAGCGAAGCGCUUAGAUUGGAUUCUUCGGAUGAAGAUCUUUGUGACUGAGCGGCGGACGGGUGAGUAACGCGUGGGCAACCUGCCUUACACAGGGGGAUAACAGUUAGAAAUGACUGCUAAUACCGCAUAAGACCGCAGUACCGCAUGGUACAGCGGUAAAAAACUCCGGUGGUGUAAGAUGGGCCCGCGUCUGAUUAGGUAGUUGGCGGGGUAACGGCCCACCAAGCCGACGAUCAGUAGCCGACCUGAGAGGGUGACCGGCCACAUUGGGACUGAGACACGGCCCAGACUCCUACGGGAGGCAGCAGUGGGGAAUAUUGCACAAUGGGGGAAACCCUGAUGCAGCGACGCCGCGUGAGCGAUGAAGUAUUUCGGUAUGUAAAGCUCUAUCAGCAGGGAAGAAAAUGACGGUACCUGACUAAGAAGCCCGGCUAACUACGUGCCAGCCGCCGCAGU
rnacentral:rRNA from 1 species